GCCAGGCUAACUCAGUCGGUAGAGCAUCAGACUCUUAAUCUGAGUGUCGUGCGUUCGAGUUCCACGUUGGGCG
rnacentral:tRNA from 1 species